AAUUGAAUUUGUUUCACGUUUUUUUUUUUUUUUUUGCGCCACUGGGUCAAUACAACGUAGUACGCAUGUGUCUGCAGGAAGAGCCGCUUGUGCGAGUGCUCCAUACUCCAAUCCAGUAGGUGGCGGUAAAUGCACCUUAAGUUGGUUUGCCACCCACCAUUUAAACAACAAAAGAAGAAGAAGAAGAAGAAGAAGCCGCUUGUGCGCAUGUGUCUGCAUCCAAAGGUUACCACGACAAGUUUGCGACUGAGUAAAUACAGAUACUACAGUUCGUGAUCUGGAGCUUGACUUCACAUGUUUUGUGGUGAUUAAAGGCGGAGUCCAUGAUGUUUGAAAGCCAAUGUUGAUAUUUGAAAUCACCUAAACAAACACGCCCCUACCCCAAUAGAAUCUGGACUUUCUGUUGAUAGACCCGCCACACACAUAUGCAACCCGGCAAGGAUGUCGGUUAGUAGACACGCUCCUUACUGCUGAUUGGCUAUAAGUGUGUUUUGGUAGUCGGCCCGUCUCCUUUUCCAAAGCGUUUUUCAAACAUCGUGGACUCCGCCUUUAACAAAUUGUGCGGUGCUUUUGGCAUUGUCUAUCCAUGUAUAAUUGUGAUGUUCCAGGAGUGCUAAUGGAAGCUACACAGUAUGUAGAUGUUUGUUCCAGUAUGUUUAUGUGUGUGUACCUGGUAAUUAUCACGUUGUGGGGACCGAAUGUCCCCACAAAGAUAGGAAUACCAGUAAAUUUUGACCUCGUGGGGACAUUUGUGAGGUCCCCAUGAGGAACCAAGCUUAUAAAUCAAACGGAAUGAUGUUUCUUGAAAAUCUAAGGUCGCAGAAAGUUUUCUGUGAUGGUUGGGGUAAGGGUUUGGGGAAGGGAAUAGAAUAUACAGUUUGUACAGUAUAAAAUGCAUUACGUUUAUGGAAUGUCCCCACAAAACAUGGAAACCAGAAUGUGUGUGUGUGUGUGCGUGCCAUGGAACAAAUAUUUAUUUUAUACCUUUUUGUGUGUUCUGUUUUUGACUUUUUUCCCCUGAUAUCAAGACACCAAAAUAAUGUUUUAAUACGCAUUUUCAUGUGUUUGUAAAGAAAAUAAAUGGUGUACUUCACUGUUA